CGCUAGUUUUGCUGGAGGCAAUGUUGGGAUACUACCCUUGUUUGAAGGAUGCUCUAACCUCGACCUGUAAGCCAGGCCAGGGACAGUGUCAGGUGGGCAGUUUGACUGGGGCGGUCGCCUCCUAAAGUGUAACGGAGGCGCUCAAAGGUUCCCUCAGAAUGGUUGGAAAUCAUUCGCAGAGUGUAAAGGUAUAAGGGAGCUUGACUGCGAGAGAAACAGCUCGAGCAGGUAGGAAACUAGGACUUAGUGAUCUGGUGGUACCGCAUGGAAGGGCCAUCACUCAACGGAUAAAAGCUACCCUGGGGAUAACAGGCUUAUCUCCCCCAAGAGUUCACAUCGACGGGGAGGUUUGGCACCUCGAUGUCGGCUCGUCGCAUCCUGGG
rnacentral:rRNA from 1 species